GAAAGAUCAAUAGGAGUUACAAUAUGUAUGUACAGUAACAUCUAAAAUUGAUCACACGUUAAGUGGAAAAAAAUAUUGAGAGCCACUGUUGAAGCAUCAACAUCUUUCUGAGUUAAUAUAGUUUAUAGCCAGAGUAUAACUAAUCCUUUCUACUAUAAAACAGAGAACAACAGUGAGAAACAACUGAAUGGAACAAUCAAAAUUUUGAACUUCAAGUAAAUGGGAUGUUAUCAAACUACUCACCACAGCAAAAAAGAGAUGGAGAAAUAUGACCACAAGUGAGAACUGAAAUGCUGAAUAUGCCCAAACAUACUCUCUGCGUGCUGCAAAAAUAAAAAUAAAAAUAAAUUGUGGUCUAAGAAUUCAAGGCAACUAAUUAUUGCAAUCGCUCUGAUAAACUUGAUUACCUAAGACAACUGAAAGCACUGAUCCCAACAGGCCCAAGGUUAAUGAAAAUGGUGCAGCAAUCAUAAUUGCAUGAGAUCUCAUCUCAUUAACCUAUGAUAGAGGAAAAACCAAUUAUCAACAUGAUGUCAAGAAAGAAAGGAUGAAGAAGAAGUANNNNNNNNNNUGACAAUACAUAUAACUAAAUCUAAAAGUCUGGAUGUAUCAUGCUAUAAGAGAAUGAAUGGUAAACAGUAGAUUCAGGAAUCCAGAUUUAAACAUUUGACAAAGACAGCAUUUUGCAGUCUCUGUUUAGGAAUUCAAUUAAUCUCACUUCAGUUGCAUGCCCUUUAGAUGGCAAAUACUGCUUUGAGUGAGUGAGACAGAGAGAGAGAUGCCCUUUAUCCAACAUUAACCUUUGGAUAGUGCAUGUGCCAUGCACCACAAUUCUGCAAGAAUAUUUACCUUGCUGCCACCAUGGCAUGACUUCUGAUGCACAUGAAUGGAUAGAAAAUCAACCUGGCUGCUAGCUCUCACAUACACACUUUUAUAUACAGAGAGUUGAAUAAGAAUUUUAUUAGGAUGAUUAAAAGCAUAAGCCUAUUAACACAAAACCAAAGAUGGAGCACCUAAAUUGAAAAUCCACACCAUUAAAUAUGAUUUACAAGACCUAAAACAUAUAGAUACCAAAAAUCAAAUGAUUUGGAGAUUUCCUACUUAUGCAUCAAAUGGUCAUGAAAUUGGCAAUGGAAAUGCAACAUCUCAACAUGCUGAUAUGAUUUGUGGUUUUGAAGAAUCCACUUUUAAAGAUUUUUUUUAAACAUGAUUUAAGAUCUUUAAAAGAUGAUUAAUGGACCAGACAUCGAUUUUUGUGACCUAAGAUACAUUGACCUAAGAUACAUUUUAGCACGUUGACUUUACCAGUAACAUCCAUUUUGUCUGUUAACCAAAAAAAAAAAAAUCCACUUUUGUUGUUAUUUGAUACAUAGGUAAGAAGCUCCAAAAGCAUAUAAUUAUUUUGAUAUUUUAAAUAUUAGGGGUUAUAAUUAACAAUGCUGAUCCUCAAUCUUUUAGAAUUUUAAAUAUGAGAGAUCAUAAUAAAUCAGUUAUUUUUUUUUAAAUUAAAAGCUAACAUGUUUAUAUUUUAGACUCUUCUCACUUAUUUAUUUUAUUUGACAGCAGUUUAUCAUUAAUACAUAAAUUCGAACAUAAUUGACCUUUUCCAAACAACUUUAGGAAAUCUUAAAUUUUCAACCUUUCUGAAAGCCAAAUCCAUCAAGUAUCUCAUGCUGAAAUUCUUUGGAGAAACUGACUUUGGCUAAAAUUUAAUUCUGACACUUACAUGAACUAGAAGGUUGGGCCACUAUUAUGCUUAACUUAUAUAACCAUCUUUGAUGGUACUUGACAUUUUAUAAGUUGCGGAGUUGAGGCAAUGCUUUUAGCAAAUGUAGUAAAGCUUAAAUUGAAUUUCUCCAAUAAUAAAUUUCCUAAUCAUUAUGUUUCACAAAAAUGCAUCUUUUUUUUUG
rnacentral:lncRNA from 1 species